UACGUAUGGUGCAAGCGUUAUCCGGAUUUACUGGGUGUAAAGGGAGCGCAGGCGGCACGGCAAGCCUGAAGUGAAAGCCCGCGGCCCAACCGCGGGACUGCAUUGGGAACUACCGGGCUGGAGUGCCGGAGAGGUAGGCGGAAUUCCUAGUGUAGCGGUGAAAUGCGUAGAUAUUAGGAGGAACACCAGUGGCGAAGGCGGCCUACUGGACGGUGACUGACGCUGAGGCUCGAAAGCGUGGGGAGCAAACAGG
rnacentral:rRNA from 1 species